rnacentral:rRNA from 1 species
UACGGAGGAUCCGAGCGUUAUCCGGAUUUACUGGGUUUAAAGGGUGCGUAGGCGGGCGCCUAAGUCAGCGGUGAAAUGCAGCGGCUCAACCGUUGAACUGCCGUUGAAACUGGGCGCCUUGGAUGCGGUCGAGGCCGGCGGAAUGCGUGGUGUAGCGGUGAAAUGCUUAGAUAUCACGCAGAACGCCAAUUGCGAAGGCAGCUGGCCGGGCCGCAAUCGACGCUGAGGCACGAAAGCGUGGGGAUCAAACAGGAUUAGAUACC